rnacentral:tRNA from 1 species
GCGCUCAAGCGCAGCGCGAGCGCCCGCAAGGGCAGAGGUCACAGGUUCGAAUCCUGUUGGGUGCGCCA